AUCUGUCUUGCUCUGUUUCUGCUUCUGUCAGCUAUUAUCAGCAUCCUAUCCAGAAGAUAUAAUGUAUAGUCUCUAUGCCCUGUGGAAUUUUGGAGAGUGCAUGCUUUCUUUCAUCAGAGUCUUCACAAAGUGCUCACAACUGGUAGUCCCUCCUCACCUGGGUCAACGCUCCUGUUUCUAUCUUGAGGUGCCCUGUGUGCAGUGCUAGUCCAAACUGUUGUUUGUGAAAGCCAGCACAUCACCAGCUCUAACCAGGUCCUGUAUACCUCCUCAGUUGUUCGUACCUGGGACUAGAAUUAAAGAUGCCAGUACAGCCACCAAAAGAUGUAAGGCACUUAGAACCAGUUUCAAUUGGAGUUGAGCACUGAAGUACAAGGGGAGCCUACAAAAUGCACAAUGUUUAAUGUUAUCUGAUGGUCACAAGGGAUCCUAAAACAUUUUAAGUAAAGAUAUGGGAUACACUUUAACAGAUACCCAGUGUAUCUUAGCUGAAGAACUUGAACACCCACAUGUGGUAGUACUUAACGUGAGGGAACUGGGACCUUUUGAAUUUUUUCAAGCUACUUUCACAAUCAGCAGAGGGCUGUGAAGCGAAAAGUCACAUAUGGGUCACUUUUGCUGACAUGCUUGCUAGAUCACAAGCAGCUACCACAAAAUUUGUUUCAAGGACAUAGAAAUCAUUGGGUUACAUUAAGAAGGCUGCACACAUCUUAAUCUGCAAAACUGUAUAGCUAAGUUUGUUUCACUAACUAGAAAAUACACAGAACAAAAACACCUUUAUUGGUCUUCCAGAAGAAUUGAUUUGCUAACUUAGAUAUUUUGAUUCAUUUCUUCUUUGAUAACAUAAUAGUUGGAAGAAAACUGGAAUGUCUAAAAUAUUCACAAAUGUAAAUUAUUUCUAAGGAAGUAAACUUCCAUCAGAAAAAGAGAAGCUGCUUUUCAGACUUAAGAAAUUUCUCCUUAAAAAUAGCUUAUAUCCUUCACUGUCUUUAAAUUUUCUGCCUGUUCAGAUGGUGGAUUUACUGUGGCAAUUGCAGUCAUUCAUGGCAGAAGUAUCUACAUAAGGUUUGCACUGCUUCUUUUUUUGUAUUUGCAUGGAUCAUGUAGACAGCAUACACUCUGCUUAAGGUAAGGAAAGAGGUUGGUACGACUUGUAUGUAUGUUUUGCAUAAUGAAUCUUCUCCAUUAGCAUAUUUUUGCUACCUAAAAAGUUAUUACUAACAUUAUCAUUUGUAAAACCAGCCCAAUGAUGGGAACGUGAACGGAGCUAUCCUGUGAUGCAUGGAUUAGAGGUGGCUAUACUUUGACUGAUGGUCCUUAUUACUGCACAGGACACAACCUGCUUUGUGCUUGAGCUUAUGUUUGCUGAGCUGACAAAAGUUGGUGAGAGACAAUAAAGAUAAAAGCUUAAUUAACAUUUAAAAAAAA